AGCGAACGCUGGCGGCAGGCCUAACACAUGCAAGUCGAGCGCCGUAGCAAUACGGAGCGGCAGACGGGAGAGUAACACGUGGGAACGUACCCUUUGGUUCGGAACAACCCAGGGAAACUUGGGCUAAUACCGGAUAAGCCCUUACGGGGAAAGAUUCAUCGCCGAAGGAUCGGCCCGCGUCUGAUUAGCUAGUUGGUGGGGUAAUGGCCCACCAAGGCGACGAUCAGUAGCUGGUCUGAGAGGAUGAUCAGCCGCACUGGGACUGAGACACGGCCCAGACUCCUACGGGAGGCAGCAGUGGGGAAUAUUGGACAAUGGGCGCAAGCCUGAUCCAGCCAUGCCGCGUGGGUGAUGAAGGCCCUAGGGUUGUAAAGCCCUUUCGGCGGGGAAGAUAAUGACGGUACCCGCAGAAGAAGCCCCGGCUAACUUCGUGCCAGCAGCCGCCGUAAUAC
rnacentral:rRNA from 1 species